CGACGUAGGUAACCUGCCUGGUAGCGGGGGGUAACUAUUGGAAACGAUAGCUAAUACCGCAUAAGAGUAGAUGUUGCAUGACAUUUACUUAAAAGGUGCAAUUGCAUCACUACCAGAUGGACCUGCGUUGUAUUAGCUAGUUGGUGAGGUAACGGCUCACCAAGGCAACGAUACAUAGCCGACCUGAGAGGGUGAUCGGCCACACUGGGACUGAGACACGGCCCAG
rnacentral:rRNA from 1 species